UAAAAAAACUUUAGAUCUGCAUAGCUGCCCUGUCCCAUGGUUUCUCUGUAAUAUUUGUUUCCUGUUUUUACUCACUGGAACUGGAUGAUAAAGAUGAUCUGUUUCCAGUCUGAAAGUGUUUUUAUUUAAAACCUGGCAGGAACAAUGAGGAAGAUUACUGUGGCAUCUUAAAAAGAAAUAUAUUUAUUGUGACCUCCAAUGCAAAAUGGAAGAUACACUUCAGAUGUGGUUCUGGGACAAGGCUAAUGCCUGCUUUCUUGUUUUGAUACCAGAUCUAACAGGUUGGCUUAUACUGACAUUUUGAAAGUAUAGAAUUUGGUUGAUAUAACACACCAGUAAAAAGUCAAGCUUAUAGAAUGUUCAUGGAUUAUAGAUAUGGAUUGUGUACAUAGUGAAGUAAAAUUCCCCAAAGAAAACAGUGGGGCUUGCUAAGCAGUAAACAAUAUGGAAGAAAUUUUUGUUACUAGAGGCUUAGCAUUCACAGUGAGGAACUUACGGCAGAACAUGUGGAUUUUCAAUUCUGUGUUUGCUGCUGACAUGCAAAACAGGGCUGGGAACAUUCACAGGGGACAAGUAGCAAAUGGGAUGCUUAACUUUUCUCCCACCUAUUGCUUUUCUUUUGAAUGAAAAAGGGAGAGUGCUGUAGCACUCAGGUGCUGCUUAUGGGCUUCCCAAAGCCAUCUGGUUAGCCACUGGAUGCUGGAUUGGAUGGACCUCUGGCCUGAUCCAGCAGGGCUCAUGUUCUUAACCUCUCACCACCAGCACUUUCCUUCUAGCUGAGAUUCUGGGAUGUCUUUCCCGGGCAAGUGGGGAAAUAUAAGAGUGCCGAUGAAAAGCAGUGGCUGAUAAAGUCCACUGGUUCUCCUCUGCAGUUCCCUGCUAUCAUCUGUUCCCAUUUUGCACCCUGGGUUGGUUAUCACCAAAAUGUCUAGUUUCUCUUUUAUUUUAUUUUAUUUAUUGCAUAUACUAAAACAAGUACACCUAAUUUCAUCAUCUGAGAAUAUUUGGCCAGUAGAUAGCGAUGGCGAGGGAACUUGCAGCCAGUAAUCAGGAAAUGGUACAUGUAUUUUAGAUAUUGUUAGAGGUGCCAAAGAAGUUUGCUGGGCUCAGAAAUGAGCUUCAGAGUCUCAGUAAUACUUGCCUCAAAGGAGAGGCUCCAAGCAGCUUAGAAAGCAUGCUGCUUGUUGCAUUCAUUUAAAACUUUCAACUAAAAAGCCUAAGAAGUGUCUGUAUGUUAUGACAUGCCACUCGCUCCUGAGUAACUGCACUGAGGAAAGAUGUCUAUCUCCAUAUACUUAUGGGAGCAGCCAUCUUUUUCCUGUACAAUGUCUAUAUAAGGCUAAGGCCAUUGUACAAAAACAUACAUUAUGGCUGCCCCUAUAGAUACAUGGGGACAGCUAUCUUUUUCUCCAUACAGUUACUCAGUGGGGUGGGGGCUGCAUGUCAUAACAUACUGCCACUUCCAGGCACUUCUUAGUCAAAAGUUUUCAAUGAAUGUGACAAGCACCAUGCUUUCUAUUCCUCUAAGUAGCUAGAAAUGAUUUUUUUUUAAAAAGCCAGGGAAUUGGUCAAACCAUUCAUAAAAACAAUCACUUGGAGCCAAACAUGCUUGGAAAGGUUUAUAGACAUGUACUCUAAUCCACAUUCUGAUCCAGUCAUGAUCUGUCAGAUGCAGAUGAGGGAGGCUUGCUCUAAACUGUGGAGCAAACCCAAAAUCUUCCUCUAUUCCUAGAAAGAGGCUUCCAUUUUUCUCCCUCAUUUUCAGGGCACUUUAGAAUUUCAAUGGUUAAACAUAGAUAUGUAAAUUACUUUGCAAUAUAUGUUAGUUACAUAUCCAUUGAUGUAUAAUUGCUGUUGUCCCUGCAGGUGCCUCUUUUGCUUUUCUUUCCUUUUUUCAGAGACUGCACUCCUAAACAUGUUUACUUAUAAGUAAUCCCAAUAAAUUCAGUGAGGCUUGCUCCCAGUGUGUGACAAAGCAGAAGACAGACUUGUACAAAUAAACCAACUGCAGCAGAACAGGAAAUACCAUAUGAAAGUGCAAAUGAAUGUUAGAAUGGAUUGAGAUAUCUCCUAAGUGAAGCCUUUGAAACUUGCUAUGAAUUCUGCUUGCCUCUUUGGCCACCCUCCUGAACCCUACAAUGCUGCCCUGACAUUUGAAUUUUAAAACUGUUCUUAGAUAUACCAGGUUAAAACAUUAAAAAACAAGGGAUGUUGUGGAACACUGGAAUCUAUUUUAGAAGUUAAUUAGGAUGAUGCUUUCUGAAAUAAUACAUUAUAAAUGGAGAUUUGCAACUGCCUCCAUCCAUAGCUAUGUUACCUGGCUGUAGCAACAGCAAAAAAGAUAGCACUCUCAUGUGGGACCAACUGCAACUUCCCUCCCUCUGCUCCCCAAACUGUCUCUUAUUAGCAGCAAUUCCUCCUGGCUGAAUCAGAGGGAGAAGCAUGACAAGAUUCAGCCUGCUCACUGGGGCCAACUACAAUUUGGUCCCUCCUCUCCCUGCAUUCUCAUCUUCUUCUAGCAGCAGAAGCAAGGGUGACACACAGCACAGCUGUCGCCAUCAGCUCAUCUGGGACUUUAUGGGGAAUAAACUUGAUUUAAUUUGCAUUUAAAGCCAAAACUACAUAAUUCACACUUUCUGAAACAAUGUUUGUGAACUUCCCAUAGGCAUCUGAUUGGAGACAGUGAGAACAGGAUGCUGGACUAGAUGAGCUCUUCUUAUGUGAAUUGAAACACUGUCUUCCUUUGAAAUUCACUCCAAUGCAGUGUAAUUCUCCAGCCAAGUAAUGUGUACAAAAAUGGAUAUACUAGGGUGAAUUGUGUAUAUAAGUGCCUCUAUUAGUGAAAAUAAUAUACAAAAAUGCAUUAUAUAAGUGAAUAUUGCUUUGCAAACAUGUACAUAUUAGGAGAAUUUUGUGCUAAAGUGCUGGUGAAUUUUCAUGUGGACAUAAACAAAAUCACAAACGGAUGUGAUAAUGUGGAGAAAUGAAUUUAAGAUUGGAAAAAUUAGAGGCUAAGGAAAACCUAGAUCGAGAGAUUCACCCAUCGCUAUCUGGCACCAACUACUGUUUGUCUCGGCCUCUCCUGGAACUCUUUCUCCAGCAGCCAUUUUACAACUGGAAAAUUUUGGUAGCUGAAUGUGCUAGAUUUCCUUUUAUACCACCUAGAUUGCUGCCCUGGGCUGCUGCUGGGAGGAAGGGCGGAAUAGAAAUGGAAUAAUAAUAGUAAUGUUAGGUGCUUUAUAAAAUCAUCAUCAUUUAUUGGCUGGGCGUGUGUGUGUAUGUCUGCCUCAACUGCAUUUGGGUCUGUCUCUCUGUCAGUUGGUAUUCUUUUAUUUCACCUAGAAAAUCUGAAAUGUAAUUUCACUAUGAAUGUAGUUUGUUUGAACUUUUAAAAAGAUAUCCAUUAAAAUAUGGAAUAUUAA